GAUGAACGCUAGCGGCAGGCCUAACACAUGCAAGUCGAGGGGCAGCACAGAAACAGCAAUGUUUUGGUGGCGACCGGCGGGCGGGUGCGUAACGCGUAUGCAACCUACCUUUAACAGGGGGAUAACGGAGAGAAAUUUCCACUAAUACCCCAUAACAUCGAUCAAGGCAUCUUGAUUGGUUGAAAACUCCGGUGGUUAAAGAUGGGCAUGCGUUGUAUUAGGUAGUUGGUGAGGUAAUGGCUCACCAAGCCUACGAUACAUAGGGGGACUGAGAGGUUAGCCCCCCACACUGGUACUGAGACACGGACCAGACUCCUACGGGAGGCAGCAGUGAGGAAUAUUGGUCAAUGGGGGCAACCCAGAACCAGCCAUGCCGCGUGCAGGAAGACGGCUCUAUGAGUUGUAAACUGCUUUUAAACAGGGAUAAAGCACAGUAUGUAUACUGUGUUGAAGGUACUGUAAGAAUAAGGAUCGGCUAACUCCGUGCCAGCCGCCGCAGUAA
rnacentral:rRNA from 1 species